UGCUUGUUCCCUUUAAAAUAACACAAUUUUCAAUACGCAUGUGUUUUGCUAUGACAAUAAAUAAAGCACAAGGACAAACAUUAGAUUAUUUUAGAAUUUAUUUACGUGAACUAGUUUUUUCUCACGAUCAAUUAUAUGUUGCUUUGUCGAGAGCAAAAAUUUCCAACUCUAUAAAAAUAUUGAUCAAGCCACCUACUUCAGACAAUGAUGAUGAUCAAUCGACCUAUAAGGUUGUGUACAAUGAAAUCAUUCAAAAAGCUUUGUUAUCAAUAUAUUGAUGCUAUUUUUAUAGAUCACUCUGCUUAGAUUGGUGCCUCUCAAACUAAAGAAUUAACUAUUACAGUGUUGUGUCCUAUUAACAAUUUAGCCGUAUUAUUGACAAAGAAGGAGCUGCAAUUAAAAGCGUUAAAGGGUUCUCAUGCCAAAGAGUGCAUUAUCACAGUCAUUUCCACUAAGCUAAUCUCUGUCAACAAACAGUUACUCAAUUUAUCCAAGAAAAAAUUAUAAAGAAAUGGUUGUUAUGGCCUCUGCUCCUGGAAAGGUUCUGAUGACUGGAGGUUAUCUUGUUUUGGAGAGGCAGCAAAAAAAGUUUAAUGUGUGAAGCUCUCUGAAUUUUGCUAAUAUUAUGACUGAGAGAUAUAUAUAUUCUUUUACUUUUUGCAGUGAUUAAAUAAAUUAA